AAGCUUAAAUUAAAUUAAAAGACGAGAAGACCCUAUAGAGUUUNAAUAAUUUUUUUANAUUNNUANUAUUUUUAGAAAAANUNNNUUUUAAUUNAAAAUAAUUAUUUUAUUGGGGUGAUAUAUAAAUUUAAUAAACUUUANUNAAAUNUUAAAACAUAUUUUUAUGAAUUAGUGAUCCAUUAUUNUAUGAUUAUAAGAUUUAAUUACCUUAGGGAUAACAGCGUAAUCUUUUUAAAGAGUUCUAAUCGAAAAAAAGGAUUGCGACCUCGAUGUUGGAUUAAAAUUAAUGUUUGGUGUAGAAGCUNAANAUAAUUAGGUCUGUUCGACCUUUAAAAUUUUACAUGAUCUGAGUUUAAAUCGGUGUGAGCCAGGUUGGUUUCUAUCUUUAAUAUNAAUAAAUUAUUUUAGUACGAAAGGACCAAAUAAUUAUAAAAAUUAUNNUUUAUUANUUGAAUAUUAAUNNGUUAUUUUGGCAGAAUAGUGCAUUAAAUUUAGAAUUUNAAUUAUGUAANNNNAAAAUUUACAAAUAAUANUUGUUUUUNAAAAGAUUUAAUUUUAUCAUUAGUUAGUGGAUUAUUAUUAGUAAUUUGUGUUUUAGUAGGAGUUGCAUUUUUAACUUUAUUAGAACGUAAGGUUUU
rnacentral:rRNA from 1 species